CAAAAAGCCAAGUAAUGACCGGGCAAGCCCUGCGGAGGGGUGAUGAAUAACUCCGGAGAGCUGUAAUUUGAAAGGGGGGCCUUUGAAGCAUUUACCUUACAUGGGACGCCAUUGUCCCUGCAGGGUGUUUGAUCUUAAAAUAAUUUACUUAAUGAUCUCACCAUGGGAGCAAUUGGCAGAGCAAGAUUAGGCUGUAAGGCCUAAUGGACAUGGGAAAAGUUAAAAUUGCUCAGAGAAAGGCGUGGCUGUGCUGACUUCAGAGAGGAAUUGUUGGUGGCUUAGCAACAGCUGCACACACAGCUUCCAGAGGGAAUGGAGCUGAAUUGGACAUGGCAACAAGAAUGCAGGCCUGAAUCACAUUAUGUUCCAAGAACCUUUAACUUUGCAUCAUAAUGACCUGCGGCCUAACAGAAGCAAAUUGCAAG
rnacentral:lncRNA from 1 species